AUGGAGCUCGCCGCAACCAGCGCUGCUGCCCUCCGGCGAUCGUUGGCGUCGGGGUAUCCGGUGGUCCCGAGGGAGAGGAGGAGUGGGAUGCCGGCUAGGGUGUCCUGCGUCGGCCGCGGAGGCAGAGGCGUAGGCGGGGGAUUCGCCGACGAGGCGCACCUCAGGUACUACGAGGCGCCGCGGAAGGCGGUGGAGGCGGCGGCGAGGGAUCUUACCAAGCUCCGGGCCAUGGGCCUUGUCGCCGGCGACCCAGCCAAGGAGAAGAUCCUCUCGGAAGCCACUGAGCUGCUGCUACAGGAGUUGAAUCAGAUGAAGGAUGCAGAGGACGAGCUGAAGAAGAAGCAGAAAGAGGAGAAGGCUGCGAUGAAAGCACUGAAGAAGCAGCAGAAGGAAGCCAAGAAGGCUGCGAUGAACUGUGGAGAUGGCUCCUCUGAAUCGAGCGAGAGUGAGUGCGAGGAAGGGCAAUCCAUGAAAAUGAGGUGUGUUGCCACCACAUCGGUGCCUGCAGUUGAGCAAGGAAUGGUGAUGUCAAUGUCGGUGCCCCAAAUUGCUGCAUCCAACAUCGCAACAGCUCCGGCAAUGGAUUUUGACAAGGCUGCGAUGAAGGCCAUGAAGAAGAGGGAGAAGGAACAAAAGAAAGCUGCAAAGAAGGCCAUGAAGAUGAAAAAGGAGGAAGAGAAGAGGAUGGCCACACUGAAUUCCUGCAAGGAUGAAGACAGCUCAUGCUCAUCGGAGUCCAGCAACAGUGAGUGUGAAGGGGAAGUCGUCAGAAUGAGCUGCUGUGCCACCAUUUCUGCGCCUCGAACACCACCUGCAAGCACAGUUUUCCCCAUCAUAGUGCCUCAAAUCCCAGACUCCGUUGCACUGGAUGCUCAGAUCUUUUCCGGGUCUGCAAAUGCAAUGCAGUGCACUGCCACCAGCAUUGCGGUUGUCGAAAAACCAGUGCUGAACAGAAUCGAGGUCUGCAUGGGCGGCAAAUGCAAGAAGGCGGGCUCGCUCGCUGUCCUGCAGGAGUUCGAGACGGAGGUCGGCACGGGCGGCAUGGUGGUCGGUUGCAAAUGUUUGGGGAAAUGCAGGCUAGGCCCAAAUGUGCGGCUUCGGAGUGAGGGCUCUGUACAGAAGAACAGUCCCAUCUGCAUUGGUGUAGGCUUGGAUGAUGUUGGCACCAUCGUGGCAGGCUUCAUCGGAGAUGGUGACGUGGGCAUGAACUGA
rnacentral:rRNA from 1 species